GACGAACGCUGGCGGCGUGCCUAAUACAUGCAAGUAGAACGCUGAAGCUUGGUGCUUGCACCGAGCGGAUGAGUUGCGAACGGGUGAGUAACGCGUAUGUAACCUGCCUGGUAGCGGGGGAUAACUAUUGGAAACGAUAGCUAAUACCGCAUAAGAGUAGAUUUUGCAUGACAUUUGCUUAAAAGGUGCAAUUGCAUCACUACCAGAUGGACCUGCGUUGUAUUAGCUAGUUGGUGAGGUAACGGCUCACCAAGGCAACGAUACAUAGCCGACCUGAGAGGGUGAUCGGCCACACUGGGACUGAGACACGGCCCAGACUCCUACGGGAGGCAGCAGUAGGGAAUCUUCGGCAAUGGACGGAAGUCUGACCGAGCAACGCCGCGUGAGUGAAGAAGGUUUUCGGAUCGUAAAGCUCUGUUGUAAGAGAAGAACGAGUGUGAGAGUGGAAAGUUCACACUGUGACGGUAUCUUACCAGAAAGGGACGGCUAACUACGUG
rnacentral:rRNA from 1 species